AUUGAACGCUGGCGGCAGGCCUAACACAUGCAAGUCGAGCGAGCGGCGGACGGGUGAGUAAUGUCUGGGAAACUGCCUGAUGGAGGGGGAUAACUACUGGAAACGGUAGCUAAUACCGCAUACCAUCAGAUGUGCCCAGAUGGGAUUAGAUAGUAGGUGGGGUAACGGCUCACCUAGGCGACGAUCCCUAGCUGGUCUGAGAGGAGGACCAGCCACACGGGGACUGAGACACGGCCCAGACGCCUACGGGAGGCAGCAGUGGGGAAGAUUGGACAAUGGGGGGAACCCGGAUCCAGCCAUGCCGCGUGUGUGAAGAAGGCCUUCGGGUUGUAAAGCACUUUCAGCGGGGAGGCGUUACCCGCAGAAGAAGCACCGGCUAACUCCGUGCCAGCAGCCGCGGUAAUAC
rnacentral:rRNA from 1 species